rfam:Deltaproteobacteria bacterium RIFCSPLOWO2_12_FTLL_60_19 rifcsplowo2_12_scaffold_5988, whole genome shotgun sequence.
AGGCACGUAGCUCAGUGGGAGAGCGCUUCCUUGACACGGAAGAGGUCGGCAGUUCAAUCCUGCCCGUGCCUA